rnacentral:rRNA from 1 species
CCGAAAGGUAGGAGUGCCCGCAAGGGAGCGCGGAGACAGGUGGUGCAUGGCUGUCGUCAGCUCGUGUCGUGAGAUGUUGGGUUAAGUCCCGCAACGAGCGCAACCCUCACCCCUUGUUGCCAUCAGGUAAUGCUGGGGACUCUAGGGGAACUGCCCCGGUCAACGGGGAGGAAGGCGGGGAUGACGUCAAGUCAUCGUGCCCCUUACGCCCUGGGCUACACACGUGCUACAAUGGCCGGUACGAAGGGAUGCGAGGCCGCGAGGCGAAGCCAAACCCAAAAAGCCGGUCUAAGUUCAGAUUGGAGUCUGCAACCCGACUCCAUGAAGGAGGAAUCGCUAGUAAUCGCCCAUCAGCACGGGGCGGUGAAUACGUUCCCGGGCCUUGUACACACCGCCCGUCACACCACGAAAGUCAG